AUUGAACGCUGGCGGCAGGCCUAACACAUGCAAGUCGAACGGAGUGGCGGACGGGUGUGUAAUGUCUGUGAAUCUGCGUGAUGGAGGGGGAUCACUACUGGACCCGGUUGCUAAUACCGCAUACCAUCAGAUGUGCCCAGAUGGGUUUAGCUAGGUGGUGGGGUAACGGCUCACCAAGGCGACGAUCCCUAGCUGGUCUGAGAUGAGGACCAGUCACACUGGAACUGAGACACGGUCCAGACUCCUACGGGAGGCAGCAGUGGGGAAUAUUGGACAAUGGGCGAAAGCCUGAUCCAGCCAUGCCGCGUGUGUGAAGAAGGUCUUCGGAUUGUAAAGCACUUUAAGUUGGGAGGCGUUACCAACAGAAUAAGCACCGGCUAACUUCGUGCCAGCAGCCGCGGUAAUAC
rnacentral:rRNA from 1 species